AUUGAACGCUGGCGGAAUGCUUUACACAUGCAAGUCGAACGGCAGCAUAGAGAGCUUGCUCUCUGAUGGCGAGUGGCGAACGGGUGAGUAAUAUAUCGGAACGUACCCAGUAAUGGGGGAUAACGAAUCGAAAGAUUCGCUAAUACCGCAUACGCCCUACGGGGGAAAGCGGGGGAUCGUAAGACCUCGCGUUAUUGGAGCGGCCGAUAUCUGAUUAGCUAGUUGGUGAGGUAAAGGCUCACCAAGGCGACGAUCAGUAGCUGGUCUGAGAGGACGACCAGCCACACUGGAACUGAGACACGGUCCAGACUCCUACGGGAGGCAGCAGUGGAGAAUUUUGGACAAUGGGGGCAACCCUGAUCCAGCCAUUCCGCGUGAGUGAAGAAGGCCUUCGGGUUGUAAAGCUCUUUCGCAAGGGAAGAAAACUUAUCUACUAAUACUAGGUGAGGCUGACGGUACCUUGAUAAGAAGCACCGGCUAACUACGUGCCAGCAGCCGCCGCUG
rnacentral:rRNA from 1 species